UAACUUUCAUAACACACACUGCUUUUACACUUGUUCUUGUAAGUGUUUUGAUUUCAGGAAUAAACAUGUCACACUCUCAAGCAGUACCCACUCACACUGACGCCGACCUUGGUCUUCAUGGCAAAAACUGUCACACCCCAGACCUGGGGCGGCGUGGCUGGCACCCGGUGCCGCACUGGCCCGAGCGAAUCACUCUGUAACUCAUUUAUUCCUUUUUUAACUAUCAUGGGCCAACAUGACCAUAAAUCGUAAUGUACAAUUGCAAGUGGGCAAAUGUUAUAUCAAUGAACCAUCGUUCAUAAAACAUGAAUACAUAUGGGCCGUCAAGGCCUCUGACAUACUGUACAAAAUGAACCUUUGUCUACAAAGCCUCUAAGAUUAUGCGACAUCAAAUGGGACAGGGUACCGGCCUACCCAUAAGUCUGUAGCAAAACUUUGAUAUGAUGACUCAUAGACUCGGCUGCACUCCGAAUGAGGUGGAGUAUUACCGAUCCUUCAUUGAAUGCCAUUCUCGUCUACUAUGAGGGAUCGUUAAACUGAUUGUCUAUACCUUCGGGCAUGAAACGCAGCAUCCCUAGGCAAAAAGGUACGUUAGUACGAAUAAUGUACCGAGUAUGUAAGGCACAUAAAUAAGUGCAUAACCGACAUGGAAGAAAUAUAGAGUAAAUGACUCAAUCUGUAAGUCUAGAUAACUCUAUAAAUCAUGAAAUACUUAUAGUAUCGUGCAUUUACGUAUGAAAGUCAUAUCGUGCAUAGGUACAUAUGCUCGUAACAUCAUCAAGCCUCUGAGAGCAUCCCAUCAUAUCAUCUUGGCCACUGCAAAAUCGUCAACGUAUACCAGCUGAUCAGGUGGUGGUGCGUAUA
rnacentral:lncRNA from 1 species